rnacentral:rRNA from 1 species
UACGUAGGGGGCAAGCGUUGUCCGGAAUUAUUGGGCGUAAAGAGCUCGUAGGCGGCUCGGUAAGUCAGGUGUCAAAUCCUCAGGCUCAACCUGGGGCUCCACCUGAUACUGCUGUGGCUAGAGUCCGGUAGGGGAGCGUGGAAUUCCUGGUGUAGCGGUGAUAUGCGCAGAUAUCAGGAGGAACACCAGCGGCGAAGGCGGCGCUCUGGGCCGGAACUGACGCUGAGGAGCGAAAGCGUGGGUAGCAAACAGG